rnacentral:rRNA from 1 species
GACGAACGCUGGCGGCGUGCCUAAUACAUGCAAGUCGAACGAACUCUGGUAUUGAUUGGUGCUUGCAUCAUGAUUUACAUUUGAGUGAAUGGCGAACUGGUGAGUAACACGUGGGAAACCUGCCCAGAAGCGGGGGAUAACACCUGGAAACAGAUGCUAAUACCGCAUAACAACUUGGACCACAUGGUCCGAGCUUGAAAGAUGGCUUCGGCUAUCACUUUUGGAUGGUCCCGCGGCGUAUUAGCUAGAUGGUGGGGUAACGGCUCACCAUGGCAAUGAUACGUAGCCGACCUGAGAGGGUAAUCGGCCACAUUGGGACUGAGACACGGCCCAAACUCCUACGGGAGGCAGCAGUAGGGAAUCUUCCACAAUGGACGAAAGUCUGAUGGAGCAACGCCGCGUGAGUGAAGAAGGGUUUCGGCUCGUAAAACUCUGUUGUUAAAGAAGAACAUAUCUGAGAGUAACUGUUCAGGUAUUGACGGUAUUUAACCAGAAAGCCACGGCUAACUACGUGCCAGCAGCCGCGGUAAUACGUAGGUGGCAAGCGUUGUCCGGAUUUAUUGGGCGUAAAGCGAGCGCAGGCGGUUUUUUAAGUCUGAUGUGAAAGCCUUCGGCUCAACCGAAGAAGUGCAUCGGAAACUGGGAAACUUGAGUGCAGAAGAGGACAGUGGGACUCCAUGUGUAGCGGUGAAAUGCGUAGAUAUAUGGAAGAACACCAGUGGCGAAGGCGGCUGUCUGGUCUGUAACUGACGCUGAGGCUCGAAAGUAUGGGUAGCAAACAGGAUUAGAUACCCUGGUAGUCCAUACCGUAAACGAUGAAUGCUAAGUGUUGGAGGGUUUCCGCCCUUCAGUGCUGCAGCUAACGCAUUAAGCAUUCCGCCUGGGGAGUACGGCCGCAAGGCUGAAACUCAAAGGAAUUGACGGGGGCCCGCACAAGCGGUGGAGCAUGUGGUUUAAUUCGAAGCUACGCGAAGAACCUUACCAGGUCUUGACAUACUAUGCAAAUCUAAGAGAUUAGACGUUCCCUUCGGGGACAUGGAUACAGGUGGUGCAUGGUUGUCGUCAGCUCGUGUCGUGAGAUGUUGGGUUAAGUCCCGCAACGAGCGCAACCCUUAUUAUCAGUUGCCAGCAUUAAGUUGGGCACUCUGGUGAGACUGCCGGUGACAAACCGGAGGAAGGUGGGGAUGACGUCAAAUCAUCAUGCCCCUUAUGACCUGGGCUACACACGUGCUACAAUGGAUGGUACAACGAGUUGCGAACUCGCGAGAGUAAGCUAAUCUCUUAAAGCCAUUCUCAGUUCGGAUUGUAGGCUGCAACUCGCCUACAUGAAGUCGGAAUCGCUAGUAAUCGCGGAUCAGCAUGCCGCGGUGAAUACGUUCCCGGGCCUUGUACACACCGCCCGUCACACCAUGAGAGUUUGUAACACCCAAAGUCGGUGGGGUAACCUUUUAGGAACCAGCCGCCUAAGGUGGGACAGAUGAUUAGGGUG